rnacentral:rRNA from 1 species
GCCAAAUAGCUAGCCUGAACAUAAUAAUAAAACUUAAAUAUAGAUAAAUGAAUUAACCCUACGCAAUAAAACAUUUUACCUCCCAAGUAUAGGUGAUAGAAAGGGCCCUCAGAGCGAUAGAAAAAGUACCGCAAGGGAAAGCUGAAAAAGAAAUGAAACAACCCAACAAAGCAGAAAAAAGCAGAGACUGAACCUCGUACCUUUUGCAUCAUGAUUUAGCAAGAAAGCCCAAGCAAAGAGAACUUAAGUUUGACCCCCCGAAACCAGGAGAGCUACUCCGGGGCAGCCUAAUAGGGCAAACCCGUCUCUGUGGCAAAAGAGUGGAGAGACCCCCGAGUAGAAGUGACAAGCCUACCGAGCCUGGUGAUAGCUGGUUGCUCAGGAAAUGAAUAUAAGUUCAGCCUCAUGUAAUUCUACCCCUAUUAAACUUAAAGGGAAAAGAAAGGCAUAAGAGUUAGUCAAAAGAGGUACAGCCCUUUUGAAAAAGGAUACAACCUUACCCAGGAGGACAAGGAUAAAAUAAAACUAAGGCACCUCCCCCAGUGGGCCUAAAAGCAGCCACCUGUAAAGAUAGCGUUAAAGCUCAAGAAGAAAAUAACCAAUAAUAAAAAUAAACAACUCCUAAUCCCCUAAAAUUACUGAGCCCCUCUACAAGGAUGUAGAGAAGAUAAUGCUAAAAUGAGUAAUAAGAGGGGCCCGCCCCUCUCCUAGCAUAAUUGUGAGUCAGAUAGGACUAACCACUGACAACUAACGGACCCGAAAUGAGGGAAUAGCAAAAGUACAAAAACAAACAAGAAACCCCUGCCUCAGCUACCGUCAACCCAACACAGGAGUGCAACCCGGAAAGACUAAAAGAGGGAGAAGGAACUCGGCAAACUCAAACCCCGCCUGUUUACCAAAAACAUCGCCUCUUGCUAACAAUGAAGUAUAAGAGGUCCCGCCUGCCCUGUGACAGCAAUGUUUAACGGCCGCGGUAUCUUAACCGCGCGAAGGUAGCGUAAUCACUUGUCUUUUAAAUGGAGACCUGUAUGAAUGGCAUAACGAGGGUUUAACUGUCUCCUCCCCCUAGUCAAUGAAAUUGACCUCCCCGUGCAGAGACGGGGAUAAUAACAUAAGACGAGAAGACCCUAUGGAGCUUUAGGCAAAUGAUCAAUCGCACCCACCUUCAUCACUAAAUAAAGAUGAAAGAAAAAACACCACUGAUCAAAAUGCCUUCGGUUGGGGCGACCAUGGAGGAAAGAGAAGCCUCCAAGUGGAAUGGGAAUAACCUUCGACCAAGAAAAACAACUCUAAGUACCAGAAAAUCUGACCAAAAAUGACCCAGGAUAAAACCUGAUCAACGAACCUAGUUACCCUAGGGAUAACAGCGCAAUCCCCUCCCAGAGUCCAUAUCGACGAGGGGGUUUACGACCUCGAUGUUGGAUCAGGGCAUCCUAAUGGUGCAGCCGCUAUUAAGGGUUCGUUUGUUCAACGAUUAAUAGCCCUACGUGAUCUGAGUUCAGACCGGAGUAAUCCAGGUCGGUUUCUAUCUAUGAACUACCCUACUCCUAGUACGAAAGGACCGGAGCAGGGGGGCCCCUGAAGAAAUAAGCCCCACCUCUAUUCACUGAAACCAUAUCAAGUGUUCAAUGAGGAAGACAUAAUUGCCAAAGAUAAUGGCAU